rnacentral:lncRNA from 1 species
GAGCAAUCGAAAUUAGACCACUAUUAUCAGAGACUGAAAGGAAAUAAUAAUAACAAUAAAAAACACUUGGUUACAUUUGCACAAUUCAAAAAUGAAAUGGAAACUCUUUAUAGAAACCCAUAUGAAGCUUGCAAUGAAAAACGUGCCAAGAUCUCUGAAUCACAGUCAUUUAAAUAUAAAGAAAAGGAGAAAAGCUCAAGACCAUUCUUCUUCCCAGAAGUAUUGAAGAGAGAAAACACGAAAUCCAAAAGAAAAGAAAGAGACCACGCCACCAAACCAAAGAAGUCAUUUCACAAGAUAGUUAGGUUACUACCAGCCACACUGCCCACUACAAGACCUCAUCUCCGGAAGUCUGCGCCAAGGAAUUUACUUCACUGGACUGCAAGGAGAACUAUACAUGAUUGUUUGGAUAGAUUCGACGAUUUACACGCACCCACAGUUAAAUGUCCUAAAAAAUCAAAAUCAGGAGCAAGACUUUUAGGCAAGAGUCCAGAAGAUUCCCAUAAUCAGGCAAAACACUGUGCACGACCAUACACUGCUCCAGAGCCUAACAAACGACGAGAAAGUGCCGCCUGGAAAUUUGCAAGUCCUCGGAUGGUUUCAGCGGGCUUACUUCACUUAUAUGUCACCCCAGCGUAUGGAAUCCGUAAAGUGCGGUCCAAAAGGAAAUUAAAAGAGGAUAUUGAAAAGCGUCCGCUCAUUAGUGAGAUUAUCCAGAUGCUAGACAAUGCAGAAUGAUAUGUAAUGCCACCAGUCAGAAUAUAAUUUCUCCAUUAACAAAAUGGUUUGGAGAUCUAUCCUUGUGUGAUAGAAGUCAGCAACUAAAUUUCAUCUUGUUAGACCAUUUUGUUAUAAUUAAAGUGAAAAAUAAACAUUCU